UAGCGAGACUGCCAGUGGAUAAACUGGAGAAGUGGGGAUGACGUCAAAUCAUCAUGCCCUUAUGACCUGGGCUACAAACGUGAUACAAUGGCUGAAACAAAGGGCAGCGAAGCAGUGAUGUGAAGCGAAACCCAAAAAAGCAGUCUCAGUUCGGAUUGAAGUCUGCAACUCGACUUCAUGAAGUCGGAAUCGCUAGUAAUCGCGAAUCAGAACGUCGCGGUGAAUACGUUCGUCGGGUUU
rnacentral:rRNA from 1 species